CAAUAGCGUAUAUUAAAGUUGUUGCAGUUAAAAAGCUCGUAGUUGGAUUUGUGGCGUACGACGGGCUCCGGGCACUUGUUGUCUGAGUAGCUUGUCGUUGCCAUCCUUGGGUGGAACCUGUGUGGCAUUAGGUUGUCGUGCAGGGGAUGCCCAUCUUUUACUGUGAAAAAAUUAGAGUGUUCAAAGCAGGCUUAUGCCGUUGAAUAUAUUAGCAUGGAAAAAUAAGAUAGGACUUUGUCGCUAUUUUGUUGGUUUGCGCGAUAAGGUAAUGAUUAAUAGGGACAGUUGGGGGUAUUCGUAUUCCAUUGUCAGAGGUGAAAUUCUCGGAUUUUUGGAAGACGAACUACUGCGAAAGCAUUUACCAAGGAUGUUUUCAUUAA
rnacentral:rRNA from 1 species